CAGCGCCCAUUCCGCGUACAUCGAGUAUCCAAAAUGAGUAAAAUCGGUUUAUACGUUGGAAUGUAGCUUAUGAUUCCAAAAUCUCAUCUCCAGGCUGCCUAGAUCACACGGCCCCGUUUCAUUCAUUUUUACUUAAUAACGGUCGUUGGACAAUUUAGAGAAGCAGCAGAAACCACGAGAAAAACAGUGGAGUCAAACGGCGGCGCUGUUGUAGGAGCAAGGGAUACAAUGAUGAUCAAGGCAGAUGCAGCCCUUACCUUCAGGUCGUGGAGUCCGGAUACAGACUGGAGGCAGGCAGCUGUAAGAUGUGUGACAAAUGCUGCGCUGGAUCAGCCCAUGGUAUUAGGAGAGCAGCUGAGUGCCACGUGCUGACGUCACUAAGAUCAAUACAGCAAACUCUGAAAGAUGGACAGAGAGACAGGAGAUGGUCCUUUAUAAUGCAGUGUGAUCUGUGCUGCAAUAGAGUUUUGGAAGCUAGAAGUUCAAAACGAGGUGUUGGCAGCACCAUGCUCUCUCUGAAGAUGCUAGGAAGAAUCUGCUCCAUGCCUUUCCAUUCGCUCCUGGGGUUUCCUGCAAGCCCUGACAUUCCUUGGCUUGUAGAUACACCACCCCAGUUUCCGCCCCCAUCAUCACAUGGCCUCCUCUCUGUGGGUGCCUCUGCGUUCCCUCUAUUCUUCUUCUAAGGACACCGACACCAGUCAUAGUGGAUUAAGGGUCCACUCCUAACUAAUUACAUCUGCAACCACCCUAUUUCCAAAUAAAGUCACAUUCUAAGAUUCCUAGGGAGAACAUGAAGUUUUGGGGGUGUGUGGAUACUGUUCAACCUGGGACAUGGAGUAAAUAAAUGGCAAGAAAGAUUACAGAUGACUUUAAGCUAAAGAGGGAGAUAGGGUUAAAUGUAGGACUUUUUUUUUUUUCCAGGACGGGAGAGGUUUAAACAUGUUACUACAUUGAAUAAAUGAA
rnacentral:lncRNA from 1 species